CAGCCGCCGCGGUAAUACGGAGGGUGCAAGCGUUACUCGGAAUCACUGGGCGUAAAGCGCGCGCAGGCGGCUAUUUAAGUUGGAUGUGAAAGCCUACGGCUCAACCGUAGAACUGCAUCCAAAACUAUUUAGCUAGAGUGUGGGAGAGGAAGAUGGAAUUAGUUGUGUAGGGGUAAAAUCCGUAGAGAUAACUAGGAAUACCAAAAGCGAAGGCAAUCUUCUGGAACACUACUGACGCUGAGGCGCGAAAGCGUGGGGAGCAAACAGGAUUAGAUACCCUGGUAGUCCACGCAGUAAACGAUGAAUGUUAGUCGUCGGGUAGCUAGUCUAUUCGGUGAUGCAGCUAACGCAUUAAACAUUCCGCCUGGGGAGUACGGUCGCAAGAUUAAAACUCAAAGGAAUAGACGGGGACCCGCACAAGUGGUGGAGCAUGUGGUUUAAUUCGAAGAUACGCGAAGAACCUUACCUGGCCUUGACAUAUAUUAGAACACCCUAGAGAUAGAGUGGUGCCUUCGGGAGCUUUUAUACAGGUGCUGCACGGCUGUCGUCAGCUCGUGUCGUGAGAUGUUGGGUUAAGUCCCGCAACGAGCGCAACCCUCGUCACUAGUUACUAACGGUUCGGCCGAGGACUCUAGUGAGACUGCCUUCGCAAGGAGGAGGAAGGUGAGGACGACGUCAAGUCAUCAUGGCCCUUACGGCCAGGGCAACACACGUGCUACAAUGGUUAGGACAAUGAGACGCAAUACCGCGAGGUGGAGCAAAUCUAUAAACCUAAUCUCAGUUCGGAUUGUUCUCUGCAACUCGAGAGCAUGAAGCUGGAAUCACUAGUAAUCGUAGAUCAGCUAUGCUACGGUGAAUACGUUCCCGGGUCUUGUACUCACCGCCCGUCACACCAUGGGAGUUGAUUUCACCCGAAGCGGGGAAGCUAAACUGGCUACCCUCCACGGUGGAAUUAGCGACUGGGGUGAAGUCGUAACAAGGUAGCCGUA
rnacentral:rRNA from 1 species